ensembl:lncRNA
UGCAAUGACAUCUGUGAUUGGUUGAUGAGUAACAGGUCUGUGUCGGUGAUUGGUUGAUGAGUAUCAGGUCUGUGUCGGUGAUUGGUUGAGGAGUAACAGGUCUGUGUCGGUGAUUGGUUGAGGAGUAACAGGUCUGUGUCUGUGAUUGGUUGAGGAGUAUCAGGUCUGUGUCUGUGAUUGGUUGAGGAGUAACAGGUCUGUGUCUGUGAGUAGCUGUGCGCCUUAUAGCCUAUCACUGAAUACAUAUUUGACAUAGGCUACAAAUGACAUAAUAAUGGAAUGCGUCGGUUGUUUCAUCUCUGUUCUAAAACAUCGUUACGUAUUGUUGGAAUUAUAGAAACUGCUGUUUUCCGUUCAUUUGGGAUGAAUUAAUGGCCA